AAAAUUUUAUAUUACUUGAGACGAGCUGAAUAGUGUGUGUGAAUAUGUGAAAUAUGUGUAUGAAAUUCACAUAUUUUGACCGCCAUUUAUGAUAAGUUCAGCGUUAAACAAAUAAUAUGAAUAAUUCAUAAUGUUUUAGAAGAAAAACUCAAAAGAUUUUAUUGAAUAGAUACAAACCAGAAAUGGCUGUCUAGAAGGGAAAUUUAUGCAUAGAAAAAAUCAACGAUCAUUUAAAAUCUGAAGAAAUUGCCUUUCAUACAGAUAUCUGCCACAAAGUCGUUAUUUUCAUUCAAGCAAAGAUUUAAUUCGUUUUAUCUUGGUUUCAGAGAAAAAUCUCUCUCACGGACAAUUAACUACAGUUAUAAGAUUGUUUGAAUUACAUUAUGAAAAAUAAGGUACCUAUGCGACCAUUUUAGGAUAAAUUUUAGAAAUGCCUAGUGUGUGUUUAUGUGACUUUUGGCAACGAUACAAACUGUUACACGCUAAUGGUACUACAUAUCACAGAAGAGUCGUUGUAAUAACAAUAACAACUGGAAGAAGUUUCAUGAUGAUCCGAUGAAGGGCUUAGGAAUGGAUCAAUCUACAAUAAAUAAUAAUUUUUGUUCAAA